rnacentral:rRNA from 1 species
GACGAACGCUGGCGGCGUGCCUAAUACAUGCAAGUCGAACGCUUCUUUUUCCACCGGAGCUUGCUCCACCGGAAAAAGAGGAGUGGCGAACGGGUGAGUAACACGUGGGCAACCUGCCUAUAAGACUGGGAUAACUUCGGGAAACCGGAGCUAAUACCGGAUAAUUCAUUUCUACUCAUGUAGAAAAGCUAAAAGACGGUUUACGCUGUCACUUAUAGAUGGGCCCGCGGCGCAUUAGCUAGUUGGUGAGGUAACGGCUCACCAAGGCCACGAUGCGUAGCCGACCUGAGAGGGUGAUCGGCCACACUGGGACUGAGACACGGCCCAGACUCCUACGGGAGGCAGCAGUAGGGAAUCUUCCGCAAUGGACGAAAGUCUGACGGAGCAACGCCGCGUGAGUGAUGAAGGUUUUCGGAUCGUAAAACUCUGUUGUUAGGGAAGAACAAGGAUGAGAGUAACUGCUCAUACCUUGACGGUACCUAACCAGAAAGCCACGGCUAACUACGUGCCAGCCGCCGCCGUAAAAC